GCAGAGGUAGUUCAAUGGUAGAAUUCCUGCUUUUCAUGCAGGUGACAUGGGUUUGAUUCCCGGCCAACGUA
rnacentral:tRNA from 1 species